GGCCGGCUAGCUCAGUCGGUUAGAGCGUCGUGCUAAUAACGCGAAGGUCGUAGGUUCGAUCCCUGCGCAGGCCA
rnacentral:tRNA from 1 species